rnacentral:rRNA from 1 species
AAUAGAUACCCGGGUAGUCCACGCCGUAAACGAUGGAUGCUAGCUGUUAUGCGUAUCGACCCGUGUAGUAGCGAAGCUAACGCGUUAAGCAUCCCGCCUGGGGAGUACGAACGCAAGUUUAAAACUCAAAGGAAUUGACGGGGACCCGCACAAGCGGUGGAGCGUGUUCUUUAAUUCGAGGCUAAGCGAAGAACCUUACCAGGGCUUGACAUCCUUGGAAUUUCUCCGAAAGGAGAGAGUACUUUAUUGGACCAAGUGACAGGUGCUGCAUGGCCGUCGUCAGCUCGUGUCGUGAGAUGUUUGGUUAAGUCCAUUAACGAGCGCAACCCUUAUGAAUAGUUGUAUUUUUCUAUUCAGACUGCCCCGGUAACGGGGAGGAAGGGGGGUAUGAUGUCAGGUCAGUAUUGCCCUUACGCCCUGGGCUAGAAACGCGCUACAAUGGCCGGUACAAUGCGCUGCCAACCCGCGAGGGGGAGCAAAUCGCAUCAAAGCCGGUCCCAGUUCGGAUAAGAGGCUGAAACUCGCCUCUUUGAAGCCGGAAUCGCUAGUAAUCGU